rnacentral:rRNA from 1 species
AACGAACGCUGGCGGCAUGCCUAACACAUGCAAGUCGAACGAGACCUUCGGGUCUAGUGGCGCACGGGUGCGUAACGCGUGGGAAUCUACCCUUGGGUUCGGAAUAACUCAGAGAAAUUUGAGCUAAUACCGGAUGAUGUCGAAAGACCAAAGAUUUAUCGCCCAAGGAUGAGCCCGCGUAGGAUUAGCUAGUUGGUGAGGUAAAGGCUCACCAAGGCAACGAUCCUUAGCUGGUCUGAGAGGAUGAUCAGCCACACUGGGACUGAGACACGGCCCAGACUCCUACGGGAGGCAGCAGUGGGGAAUAUUGGACAAUGGGCGAAGGCCUGAUCCAGCAAUGCCGCGUGAGUGAUGAAGGCCUUAGGGUUGUAAAGCUCUUUUGCCCGGGAUGAUAAUGACGUGUACCUGAAGAAUAAGCAUCGGCUAACUCCGUGCCAGCAGCCGCGGU